rnacentral:lncRNA from 1 species
CCCAUUAAGUAGAAGAACCACCAUGCUGCUUAAAUUUGUCAAAUUUGGAGGAAAAUCCAAAAUUACUAUUGCUAACUUUCCUAAAUCUUUUAGAGAAUUAUAAUUCCAACUCCUAAAUCAUGUGAAUGGUUAUAGAUGCACUAAUAGGCUUUUAGUCAAUCCUUAUAGUAAUGACUAACAACCUCUAAAUUAUUAAACUAACUAAGUUGCUAUUCUAAUUUUCUAAUUCUUAUCACUUUAGUCCUAAUUAACCUAAUUCAAGGAAUUAAGCUAUGUUUUAUACCAUCAAGGGUUGUAAUCCUAAAAAUUCUAUAAAACUAAAUUCUACUUAUAUAAAUCCUAAUUUAACAUGUUUAAUUAUCAUAAAAUAGGAAAAUAAUAAAAAUUUAAAUUUUAGAGUAUAAUUGAGAGCUCACUCAUAUACAAAAUGAAGUAUCCAUUUAUAAUAGAAAAUA